CUCAUUAAGGGGCCAUGAUUCCAAGAAGUCCAGCACCACGUUAACAUCCCAAAACGAUGAAUAUCUGGAUUUCAGAGGCCUAGAGUAACGAAUACCCUUCAACAAACGGCACACAAAAGGAUGUUGUCCAAUCGGUGAUCCGUCAAUACCUAGAUGUCCGGCUGAGAUGGCCGAUCUAUAAACAUUGAUAGUGCGAUAGGCCAAACCAGAUUCAAAAUGCGUAGUCAGAAAACUGAGCACCUCCUUCAGAGGGGCAGAAAGGGGAUCCAGCAGUCUCCCCACGCACCAGCCAGAC